rnacentral:lncRNA from 1 species
GCUCAAGCUGGCUAACAUUAGCCACACCUUAUACAGUUCAUGGACUUUGUGGCUGUGCUGUCUAGUGGGAACCCGUUAGCACUGCAGGCUCUGGUGCCUUCUUGCAAUGGGCUCAAAACUAAAGAGAAAAUCAUACCCGCUUGCUCUAAUGGUGGUACCUUGUCUGUUCUUCUUUUUGUUUUGUCAACUUUUCGGCAUGUUCUCUGUGAAGUAGUCUACAGAGUUUUGUAACUUUCCCCACCUUGGCUUAGUGCUAGCGUGCUAGCUGACUGAUAUCUGGAGAUCUAUUUUGGAUUUUUCUCACUAUAGCUAUUGGAUUUUCCCUGACUCUUACCAUCAGAUGGGCACCAGCCAUCAAUCUGUGGGCGAAAGCAUAUUUGCCUCAGAGUCGUCAGUGUGGGGACGGGGAAGAAGGGAGCGUAUCGGAUAUUGGUUCAGCGUGGGUUCCAGGUUGAGUCAGGCCCACUCAUCUGCUCAGGAGUGUGAGCUGGAGAGACAGCUGUCACUUGCAUGGGUGAAAAAGAAGUGGGAGAACCAUAAGAAACAAAUACACGGAGUUUAAACCUCCCUCCACCGGAGUCACCACAGGGGGAGGGGAAGCCACAGCCACAUCCUGGGAGUGGUAUGAGGGGGAGGCCACAGCCGCAUCCUGGAACUGAUAUACAGUGAUGAAAGAGACAGCCGUUACAGAAUUACCCACCAAACCAGGACCAAGCGGCGGAAGAGGAAGGAGCAGCAGGACUACUGCGUUAUGGACAAAUGGACGUGGG